UACGUAGGGUGCAAGCGUUAAUCGGAAUUACUGGGCGUAAAGCGUGCGCAGGCGGUGAUGUAAGACAGUUGUGAAAUCCCCGGGCUUAACCUGGGAAUGGCAUUUGGGACUGCAAGGCUCGAGUGCGGCAGAGGGGGGUGGAAUUCCACGUGUAGCAGUGAAAUGCGUAGAGAUGUGGAGGAACACCGAUGGCGAAGGCAGCCCCCUGGGCUAACACUGACGCUCAGGCACGAAAGCGUGGGGAGCAAACAGG
rnacentral:rRNA from 1 species